rnacentral:rRNA from 2 species
UACAGAGGUGGCAAACGUUGUCCGGAUUUAUUGGGUGUAAAGGGCAUGUAGGUGGUUCUAUAAGUCAAAGGUGAAAUGGCCCGGCUCAACCAGGUCAUUGCCUUUGAAACUGCAGAACUUGAGUACGGAAGAGGAAAGCGGAAUUCCCAGUGUAGCGGUGAAAUGCGUAGAUAUUGGGAGGAACACCGGUGGCGAAGGCGGCUUUCUGGUCCGAAACUGACACUGAGAUGCGAAAGCCAGGGGAGCAAACGGG